GAUGAACGCUGGCGGCGUGCCUAAUACAUGCAAGUCGAGCGAACAGACGAGGAGCUUGUUCCUCUGACGUUAGCGGCGGACGGGUGAGUAACACGUGGAUAACCUACCUAUAAGACUGGGAUAACUUCGGGAAACCGGAGCUAAUACCGGAUAAUAUAUUGAACCGCAUGGUUUAAUAGUGAAAGACGGUUUUGCUGUCAUCUAUAGAUGGAUCCGCGCCGCAUUAGUUAGUUGGUAAGGUAACGGCUUACCAAGGCAACGAUGAGUAGCCGACCUGAGAGGGUGAUCGGCCACACUGGAACUGAAACACGGUCCAGACUCCUACGGGAGGCAGCAGUAGGGAAUCUUCCGCAAUGAGCGAAAGCCUGACGGAGCAACGCCCCGUGAUUGAUGAAGGUCUUCGGAUCGUAAAACUCUGUUAUUAGGGAAGAACAAAUGUGUAAGUAACUAUGCACGUCUUGACGGUACCUAAUCAGAAAGCCACGGCUAACUACGUG
rnacentral:rRNA from 1 species